rnacentral:rRNA from 1 species
GACGAACGCUGGCGGCGUGCUUAACACAUGCAAGUCGAACGAUGAAACUAGAGCUUGCUCUAGUGGAUUAGUGGCGAACGGGUGAGUAACACGUGAGUAACCUGCCCUUGACUCUGGGAUAACUGCUGGAAACGGUAGCUAAUACUAGAUAUUACUCUUGAAGGCAUCUUCUGAGAGUGGAAAGAUUUUUUGGUCAAGGAUGGACUCGCGGCCUAUCAGCUUGUUGGUGAGGUAAUGGCUCACCAAGGCGACGACGGGUAGCCGGCCUGAGAGGGUGACCGGCCACACUGGGACUGAGACACGGCCCAGACUCCUACGGGAGGCAGCAGUGGGGAAUAUUGCACAAUGGGCGAAAGCCUGAUGCAGCAACGCCGCGUGAGGGAUGACGGCCUUCGGGUUGUAAACCUCUUUUAGUAGGGAAGAAGCGAAAGUGACGGUACCUGCAGAAAAAGCACCGGCUAACUACGUGCCAGCAGCCGCAGUAA